rnacentral:rRNA from 1 species
UACGGAGGUUGCGAGCGUUGUUCGGAAUAACUGGGCGUAAAGGGAGCGCAGGCGGUCUCGUAAGUCUAAAGUGAAAUGCCAGGGCUCAACCUUGGACGUGCUUUGGAUACUGCGAGACUUGAGUACGUGAGAGGAGAGUGGAAUUCCAGGUGUAGCGGUGAAAUGCGUAGAUAUCUGGAGGAACACCGGUGGCGAAAGCGGCUCUCUGGCACGUUACUGACGCUGAGGCUCGAAAGCGUGGGGAGCGAACGGG